CUUUCUCAUAAGCUACCUUGCAGCAGGAGUGGAGAGAAGCCAUGAGACUGUGAUGCUGGCAAGUCAUAGUGAAAUGAGCUGCCGCCUUUUGAAGCUGUGCUGGGGGAACUGAAGAGGAUCUUGCCCAUUCGUCUACCAAAGAACACCAUCCUCCCAGAACUUCUUUUCUCACACUGGCCAGCACUGGGUAUUUUGUGCAGCAGACACUCAGGAAAUGCCUGUUGAAUUGACUUUUUAAUGUGCCGUACGAGAAAACAAAAGGCAAGACAUUUCAGAUUUUUCUGAAAUGAAGGAAUAAAUUUGCAUAAAUAUCAUAAGAAUGAAGAAGAAUUUUUUUACAAGUAUAAAUUUAGACGUGGAGCUUCGCGCUGCCUUCAUUUUCUCUCUGGGAUCCUGAGCCCUAGUGGGUGAAAUACCUUGUUUGUCUGUGGUAAUGGAAAGACCCAAGGCUUGAACUCAACUCUUGGAGCCCCUUUCCCACUCGGUAUUUCCCGUUUUCAGGAGAGGGAAGGUAAUGAGAGGUCACUAGGGGAUUCUAAGAACAUAAACUAUCCAAAAAAAUCAAUCAACUUUUCUGAUGAUAUUGAGGAUGGAUAGAAAUGCAGAGAGAAAUAAAAAGAGAACACACUGAUGUAUGCCGUUAUUGUGCUCCCUGUAGGAAUACAAGAGGAAGUCAGAGGUGUAGGAAGUGAAAGGGAAGGCGUGCAUUUGAUGUGUCUGGUUCAGUCUCCUGGGGCACACAGAAGGGUCGGCUGCAAACUUACGGCUCCCUGACUCACUCCUCUCAAUUGACUGCUUAUCAGAGUACAUGUGGGUGUGGACAUGUGAUCAUUUGUACUAUGACUGGAAGUAGAAUAUGAAUCAGUCCGGUAAGGUAAUGCUCUUUCACGUCAUUGGCGGUUCCCCACUAUAAGUUGGAAACAAUCCAACACUGGAUUUCAGCACAACUCUGGGAUAUUUACUAUGGAGGACACCUACACUGUACUGUGUGUGUUUCUGACAUCUUCCAGUCCAGAAGAACAAUGGGAAAAUUUAAGUUCCUCUUUACUUUGGGUAGGAUAACUGGUUGUUACUUCAAACAAGAUUCUGUGACUUGAUUACAGGGCUCUUUACCCCAAAUUGUGGAUUGAACCUGGGUCUUGAAUGCAAAAUGCAUUCAAGAAAGAAUUUCAAACUUCCUUGUGGAAAAACAAUUCAGUUUCAUUUAUUCAUAGGCACGGAUAUCUUUAAUGAAAACAUGCCUUAGAUUAAAAACAUAGAAACAAUGAUUCUUGAUCAUAUAAUUGUAAUAGCACCAUAAAUAUAUAUAAAAUAUCCCUCUCAAGGGCAAAAUUCUUCUUUGAUAUUACUAGUUUUGACAAGAUAGAUAUGUAUGUGUUUGUUUUUAGAGCAGACUUAAAACUAAACGUGGGUGUGUUGAUUAACGAGAUUGAUUAAAUGUGAGGGAAAGGGAAUGGGGGGCGAGAUCGUUCAGGCUGAUUCCGUGCUUCUGACUUGCGGAGUCGAUUACAUCUAGCAGAGAGGAGGAGGAGCGUGUGGACGUGGACGUGCUGGUGAGCAUUUUAGUUACUAAAUGCACAGACUGGAGACUGAUUACCGAAACCCUCCCUUCCCCCUCUCCAUAUGCAUUUUACAAAAAGACGAUAAUACGAAUUUCUACUUUAACCUUUUAACCUGGUUUUAAAAAUGAUUCUUAUUACAAUCUCUAACCCUUUAUUCUAGUGCCUUCCUGAAGCUGAGGAUGAUGAAGUGAUGGCCUUUUGUUGCCUCAUGCUCUGAGCUCCCAGGGUAUGGACGUGGUAGAUUUCAUGUCCCACCGCCGUCCCUCCAGUGCUGGGCGAUCUUAGUUAAGGCUUUGAUCUUACUUUGGGUCUGAAAAAUAAGACCAAAAAAACUAAUCUAGGUUUGAGUGUUAGGUCCCAAGAAAUAGCUAAUUUCAACAUUUUCCCUGACAUAGAAGGCUAAAGUGAGGCCAUUUCAUCACAUACUACCUGGGGAGAUGGGAAAUACAAAGACAAUGGCAGAAAGGGUAAAAUGAUGAAUUAAAAUAAUGAAUUACAUUCUUUUUUUUUAAUUUUAAAGUUUGAAAAGUUUGAUUUGAGAAUUAGGUGAAGGUGCAAGCCAAUGUCUUUGAUAGGGACCAGCAAGAGAUCAAAAGAACCAGCGUGUGGUAAAUAUCUUUUGAUGAGAAGAAACAAAUUCAGGUAUCUGUGGUAACACUCGUUUGUCUCCUUGUUUAUCUCCUCAACCAUCCUUCAAUCUACACAGAACCACCAGAGAAAAACCACUGCAGAGUCAUCAUGUUGCCCCAAAUAUCUCUUAGAGGGUUGACCUGAAAAUUAGAGUGGAAAUUCUUCUGCCGCUCAGCGUCUGCUUUUGGCCACUGUUGAAUAUCGACCCAUCUCAAGUGUACACAUGUCAUGUCCAUCACCCUUGAUUUGGGGAAAGCUAGCUGGAGCCAUAACUCAGAAUUCACCCUCUUUAAUAUGUCAACCAGGCUGAGCAAUUCUUAAAAACAACUCCUGUUUAUAAGGAGUUGAUAAAAGGGACUUACUGCUUUUUUAAAUAUUAAAUGCAACAUCUGAUAAUUACUUAGCAGUUUAGAACAGUGUCUAAAAUUCUUCUGUGGAGUCUGAAAAGAUGUUUCUAGGGCUGAA
ensembl:lncRNA